GAUGAACGCUGGCGGCGUGCCUAAUACAUGCAAGUCGAGCGAACGGACGAGAAGCUUGCUUUUCUGAUGUUAGCGGCGGACGGGUGAGUAACACGUGGAUAACCUACCUAUAAGACUGGGAUAACUUCGGGAAACCGGAGCUAAUACCGGAUAAUAUUUUGAACCGCAUGGUUCAAAAGUGAAAGACGGUCUUGCUGUCACUUAUAGAUGGAUCCGCGCUGCAUUAGCUAGUUGGUAAGGUAACGGCUUACCAAGGCAACGAUGCAUAGCCGACCUGAGAGGGUGAUCGGCCACACUGGAACUGAGACACGGUCCAGACUCCUACGGGAGGCAGCAGUAGGAAAUCUUCCGCAAUGGGCGAAAGCCUGACGGAGCAACGCCGCGUGAGUGAUGAAGGUCUUCGGAUCGUAAAACUCUGUUAUUAGGGAAGAACAUAUGUGUAAGUAACUGUGCACAUCUUGACGGUACCUAAUCAGAAAGCCACGGCUAACUACGUG
rnacentral:rRNA from 1 species